UUCUGUUACAGACUUGUUUUCUUUUUUCUUAACAUAAUAAUAUAUGCUGAGAGGAAUUUUGAAAGAGGCCAAAUUGUGUGUGUUUGUUCGGAUGUUUUACAUGUGAAAGAGAACGAGAUUGAUAUGAAUUGGUAUGAGAGCUGUUCUGUUCACUGUACAUAAUGUACAUGCUAUGGAGCAAUAAAGGUGUAUUACCAAUAUAAAAUGAAGAAAGAAAA
rnacentral:sRNA from 1 species